rnacentral:rRNA from 1 species
CCUACGGGAGGCAGCAGUGAGGAAUAUUGGUCAAUGGGCGGAAGCCUGAACCAGCCAAGUCGCGUGAGGGAAUAAGGCCCUACGGGUCGUAAACCUCUUUUGCCGGGGAGCAAGGGCGGGGCCGUGUCCCGGCCCGGAGAGUACCCGAAGAAAAAGCAUCGGCUAACUCCGUGCCAGCAGCCGCGGUAAGACGGAGGAUGCGAGCGUUAUCCGGAUUUAUUGGGUUUAAAGGGCGCGCGGGGGGAUGUGAGAGUCAGCGGUAAAAUUGCGGGGCUCAACCCCGUACUGCCGUUGAAACUGCAUCCCUUGAGUGCGCGAGAAGUAUGCGGAAUGCGUGGUGUAGCGGUGAAAUGCAUAGAUAUCACGCAGAACUCCGAUUGCGAAGGCAGCAUACCGGCGCGCAACUGACGCUCAUGCACGAAAGCGUGGGUAUCGAACAGGAUUAGAUACCCCGGUAGUC